UACGUAGGGCGCGAGCGUUGUCCGGAAUUAUUGGGCGUAAAGAGCUCGUAGGCGGCCUGUCGCGUCCGCUGUGAAAACCCGGGGCUUAACCCCCGGGCCUGCAGUGGAUACGGGCAGGCUGGAGGCAGGCAGGGGAGAACGGAAUUCCUGGUGUAGCGGUGAAAUGCGCAGAUAUCAGGAGGAACACCGGUGGCGAAGGCGGUUCUCUGGGCAUUACCUGACGCUGAGGAGCGAAAGUGUGGGGGAGCGAACAGG
rnacentral:rRNA from 1 species